AUGAACGCUAGCGGCGUGCCUAAUGCAUGCAAGUCGAACGGAAGUUCUUGGGAAACUGAGGGCUCGAGUGGCGCACGGGUGAGUAACACGUAGGUGACCUGCCCCGGAGAGGGGGACAACCAUUGGAAACGAUGGCUAAUACCCCGGAUGUCCUGGCGGUUAGAGGGCCAAGACUGAAGUGGACGAACGAGAGUUCGUUCGCGCUCUGGGAGGGGCCUGCGACCCAUCAGCUAGUUGGUGUGGUAACGGCACACCAAGGCCCAGACGGGUAGGGGGCGUGAGAGCGUGACCCCCCACACUGGUACUGACACACGGACCAGAUACCUACGGGUAGCAGCAGCAAGGAAUAUUGCGCAAUGGGCGAAAGCCUGACGCAACAACGCCGCGUGGAGGACGACGGCCUUCGGGUUGUAAACUCCUUUUCUGGGGGAAGAGGAAGGACGGUACCCCAGGAAGAAGCCUCGGCUAACUACGUGCCAGCAGCCGCGGUAAAACGUAGGAGGCGAGCGUUAUCCGGAUUUACUGGGCGUAAAGGGCAUGCAGGCGGUCGCUUAAGUCGGAUGUGAAAGCUCCUGGCUCAACUGGGAGAGGCCAUUCGAGACUGGGCGACUCGAGGAUGGUAGAGGAGAGUGGAAUUCCCGGUGUAGUGGUGAAAUGCGUAGAUAUCGGGAGGAACACCAGAGGCGAAGGCGGCUCUCUGGGCCAAUCCUGACGCUCAGAUGCGGAAGCUAGGGGAGAGAACGGGAUUAGAAACCCCGGUAUUCCUAGCCGUAAACGAUGUCAACUAGGUGCAGGGGGUAACCAAACCGUCUGUGCUGCAGCCAACGCGUUAAGUUGACCGCCUGGGGACUACGGCCGCAAGGCUAAAACUCAAAGGAAUUGACGGGGCCCCGCACAAGCAGCGGAGCGUGUGGUUUAAUUCGAGGCUACGCGAAGAACCUUACCAGGGUUUGACAUGCUGGUGGUAGGGAGGUGAAAGCCGACCGACCCUUCGGGGAGCCAGCACAGGUGCUGCAUGGCUGUCGUCAGCUCGUGCCGUGAGGUGUUAGGUUAAGUCCUGUAACGAGCGCAACCCUCAUCGUUAGUUACAAGUGUCUAGCGAGACUGCCGGUGAUAAGCCGGAGGAAGGUGGGGAUGAAGUCAAGUCAGCAUGGCCUUUAUAUCCUGGGCGACACACACGCUACAAUGGCCGGUACAAUGGGUUGCCAAGCCGCGAGGCGGAGCCAAUCCCCUAAAGCCGGUCUCAGUUCGGAUUGCAGGCUGCAACCCGCCUGCAUGAAGUCGGAGUUGCUAGUAGCCGCAGGUCAGCCACACUGCGGUGAAUACGUUCCCGGGGCUUGUACACACCGCCCGUCACGUCAUGGAAGUUGGCAACGCCUGAAGUCGGUGGGCUAACGGCGACCAAGGUCGCUGAGGCAGCCGCCCAAGGCGGGGUCGGUAACUGGGACG
rnacentral:rRNA from 1 species